rnacentral:rRNA from 1 species
GUGAGGAAUAUUGCGCAAUGGAGGCAACUCUGACGCAGCCAUGCCGCGUGCAGGAAGAAGGCGCUACGCGUUGUAAACUGCUUUUAACCGGGAAGAAACCCCAGGACGUGUCCUGGGUUGACGGUACCGGAGGAAUAAGCACCGGCUAACUUCGUGCCAGCAGCCGCGGUAAUACGAAGGGUGCAAGCGUUAUCCGGAUUCAUUGGGUUUAAAGGGUGCGUAGGCUGAGCGUUAAGUCAGUGGUGAAAUCCUGCAGCUUAACUGUAGACUUGCCAUUGAUACUGGCGCUCUUGAGUGCGCUUGAAGUGGGCGGAAUGUGCCGUGUAGCGGUGAAAUGCUUAGAUAUGGCACAGAACACCAAUUGCGAAGGCAGCUCACUAAGGCGAUACUGACGCUGAGGCACGAAAGCGUGGGGAUCGAACAGGAUUAGAAACCCUUGUAGUCC